AUCUUUUUAGUAUGAAACAAGUACAAGUGACUUCCAAUCACCAAGUCUUGGUUAAACCCCAAGAAAAGAUA
rnacentral:tRNA from 2 species